UAGAUAAGGAUGAAGCAAAAUAUAUAAUCCAACACUUGAUCUGAUUUUGUGAUGCUAAAUAUAUCUAUAAGCUCUGAAUCUAC
rfam:Cicer arietinum chromosome Ca2, whole genome shotgun sequence.